GCGGAUAUGGCGGAAUGGCAGACGCGCCGGCUUCAGGUGCCGGUCUUUGUUACGAAGGUGCAGGUUCAAGUCCUGUUAUCCGCA
rnacentral:tRNA from 1 species